rnacentral:tRNA from 1 species
GCUCACGUAUUUAUUCUUAUAUUUUAAGUUCAAAUUGCAAAUUUGAAUAUCAGAAGGAUUUGAGGAGAGCA